CCCUUAGAUGUUCUGGGCCGCACGCGCGCUACACUGACGAAGUCAGCGAGCAUCUCCUUCGCCGAAAGGUGCGGGGAAUCUUGUGAAACUUUGUCGUGCUGGGGAUUGAUUUUUGAAAUUCUUGAUCAUCAACGAGGAAUUCCUAGUAAGCGCAAGUCAGCAGCUUGCGUUGAUUACGUCCCUGCCCUUUGUACACACCGCCCGUCGCUACUACCGAUUGAAUGGUCCGGUGAGGCUUUGGGAUCUGAGCGGAAAGAGCGUUUCGCUGUUUCUGCUCGGAAAACUCAGUCGAACCUUAUCAUUUAGAGGAAGGAGAAGUCGUAACA
rnacentral:rRNA from 1 species